rnacentral:rRNA from 1 species
UAAGAAUUUAAAAGUCGAACAGACUUAUUUAUUAAGAAUACUCCUUCUUAAAAUUUUCUUAAUUCAACAUCGAGGUCGCAAAAUAUAAUAUAGAUAUGAACUCCCCAUUUAAAUUACGCUGUUAUCCCUAAGGUAACUUAGUCUUAUUACCUUUAUUAAGGAUCUAAAAUUACAUAAAUAAAUGAAUUUUUAAACUAAAGAUCGUUAUUUAGUUACCACCCCAGCAAAAUAUAGAUAAAUAUUACUAUAUAUAAUUAAAAAUUAAAAUUUAAUAAAAUUUAGAUAUAUAAAGUUCUAUAGGGUCUUAUCGUCCCAAUAAAAUAUUAAAGCAUUUUAACUUUAAAUUUAAAUUUUAACAUUUAAAGAAAUAAAAUAUAAUUCUCAUACAUCCAUUCAUACAAGCUUUCAAUUAAAAAACUAAUUACUAUGCUACCUUUGCACAGUCAAAAUACUGCAGCCAUUUAGAUAUUAAACCAUAGGGCAGAAGAUACUUUUUAUAUAAACCA